ensembl:ncRNA lncRNA:CR43256 long non-coding RNA:CR43256
UCACAAACUUGCGCUGCGUCUAUGUUUUUAGAAUCUGUAUGCUGAAUCUCAACAUUUUGGCUGAUCUUGAUGCUGAUAUGGACAGACGGACAUGUCGGAAACGCUUCCUUCCUCCUGCUACAUAGUUUUCAACGGAUCUAGGAACCCUGUUACUCUACGGGUAUAACGAGUAUAACAAAUAGCGUAUAGUCUGAAUGACUAAAGGAUGUAGUGAAGUUGCACUUUUUUUGAUGACAUCCGAUUGUUUAUUGCGACUCCGCGCGGCAAUGUGCUUCCUUCUACAUUCUUGGCUUUGACUUUACGCGACUGAACUGCCUCUCAGUUCGUUCAACGUAUGAUACGAUAAUAUACUGUUAUUCUACCGCUCGUUUUACAUACGCUUACAAAUGGUAAUAUUGUACCUAAUUUCAACAACUGUCCUUAAUGUUACCAUUUUUCAAUUAAUUUCUCAAAAAUUUACACAACAUUUCUCAUGUAUAAGUUUUGACAAAAUCUUUUUUACAUGUCGGCUAUUAUUAAACAUAUCGUUCAAAAUCGCU